rnacentral:lncRNA from 1 species
CAGUGCCCUGGUGGAAAGAGGUCAGUGCCCAGCCGUGCAUGCCACCUUGCCCUGUGCCCUGCAAAGCUUCCUGCUGUGGUGUCCCCUCGACAUGGCACCCAGGAGAGGUGUGGCUCCAGGCUUGGUGGGAGACUAGAAGGGGCCGCCAAAGGCCCGGUCUGCAGCCUUCAGGGAAUCGCCCGUAGGCAGGGCCUGAGUUUUCACCAACGGCUGAGAGAUGGGCCACUCCCUUUUUCCAGACUCUGUGGCUGGACGCCAGGCUCAGGGGCGAGAACAGCUCCUCACCGCCCUGGAAACCUGCAGGGCGAAGCCUGGCCUAUAGAUGGGACCACAGGAUUCUUGGGGACACCUGGGCCCCCCUCUAGUGCCUGGCCUGCAUCAACUUUACGGAGAAUGAGUCAGAAAUAAAACACAACCUGCGGCUCUGUCGGUGGCCGGCUAUGUGGAUCACUAGCCGCACAACGCCUGCAGGCAGGUGACGCC